rnacentral:pre_miRNA from 14 species
GAAAAUGCCUUUUCCUAGGCUCCACCACCAAAAAUUAUGGUUCAGUAAGACUGGGGUGGAGCCCAGGCAUCUGCAUUUUUAACAAGCUCCCCAGAUGACUUAUCAUACGUUGAGGAGCA